AUUUGUGUCCUAUAGUUACGUGGAAAGUAAAACUUGUAAGCAGUGAACCUGGAUAUUUAGCUGGGGGAUUUCCAAGCAAACCAUUGAAGGUUCAGAAUGGUUUCUUCUUGAUGUGUUGUAAAAUAUGAGAGGGAAGACAGAUUGACAGAAGAAUUGUUAAACAAAAAGGAACUGGGACUUGAUUAUUUGAGAAAUUCUGUCUGUCCAGAUUGCAAAAGAUGCUAAAACAAGGAGAUUCACUGUCAGGAAAGCCUGCUUCAGAGAGAAAGCCAAUGGUGUGAGGAGACAACCUUUUGCCUGUGCCUCAGAAGGAUCAAACGGUGAGAAUAUUCCAUCACACAGAGGUAUCUUGGGAGAGACCAGGCAUGUGACUUGCGGAUCUCCUUAGCCAUCUAAGCAGAAGCCAGAAAUAGAGAUGCAAUUAUCCAUGAAAGAUCUGUGGAGGAGCCUCUUAACUAGUGGAAUCUUAACCCAAGACACACACAGGAGACCCACAAAGAUCUUGAGAAUUUUACACCAGCAGAAGUGAAAAAGACAGAAUGACAAGCAUUCUGCCAUGUGGGAGAGAGUAAAGACUUAUCUUUAGCUUCUGCUGCAUGGUAACAAGGAGAAUGAGAGAGUCACACAAAUUCACGGACUUCUAACUACACUGAGACAGUGACUACACCCGCCAAUGAUGAGAGCCCGGUCAGAGUCCUAAAUUCGGAUCUAGUCAGAGUAGUAUUUAAAAUAAUAGUUAAAAGCCUUGGGUAUGGAGUCAGACUGCCUGGGUUUGAACCCCAGCUCACCACUGUGAUUGAGAGAAAGAUGCUUUCAACCUCAUUGUGCCACAGUUUUCUCAUCUGCAAAAUUAUGGUAGUAACUGCACCUUCCUCACAGGGUACUUGUGAGAAAAGACUUGCAAUGAGAUUGAAACAGUGUCUGGCACUAUUAUGGAGGAAAGCAGGGGAGAAGAAAGAAAGGAGCGCACGCACACACACACACACACACACAAAACCACCAGGGGUGACAUUACGAUAA
rnacentral:lncRNA from 1 species